rnacentral:ncRNA from 2 species
AGACUUUCACGCAGUUUUGGUGCUCGCGCGCGGGUUCUCUCGCGCGCAGUCAAACGGGAAGCAGGGCGCGUUUCUUCGCACGAUCGAACGGACGUCAACCUGCGCUGCCCCCGCAACGGUAAACGAUCGCCGCGCGCACGAUGCUGCAUCGCGUGCGCGGCAAGCCGCUUCCAGGCCACUGCGAUGUGCGGGAAGGCAAAGCGGCGUUUUCGUCAGCCCGGAUACCGGCCAGACAUUCGACGGGUUC